rnacentral:rRNA from 1 species
GACGAACGCUGGCGGCGUGCUUAACACAUGCAAGUCGAACGGAAAGGCCCUGCUUUUGUGGGGUGCUCGAGUGGCGAACGGGUGAGUAACACGUGAGUAACCUGCCCUUGACUUUGGGAUAACUUCAGGAAACUGGGGCUAAUACCGGAUAGGAGCUCCUGCUGCAUGGUGGGGGUUGGAAAGUUUCGGUGGUGGGGAUGGACUCGCGGCUUAUCAGCUUGUUGGUGGGGUAGUGGCUUACCAAGGCUUUGACGGGUAGCCGGCCUGAGAGGGUGACCGGCCACAUUGGGACUGAGAUACGGCCCAGACUCCUACGGGAGGCAGCAGUGGGGAAUAUUGCACAAUGGGCGGAAGCCUGAUGCAGCAACGCCGCGUGCGGGAUGACGGCCUUCGGGUUGUAAACCGCUUUCGCCUGUGACGAAGCGUGAGUGACGGUAAUGGGUAAAGAAGCACCGGCUAACUACGUG